rnacentral:sRNA from 1 species
UGGAUGUGUCACCAUCAUCAUCACUGGAUGACAGUCCCUCAGAAAGUGAGGGGAUUUCUUGUGAUCCUCAUGAAGCUCCUUUUGAAUCUCCAACCAUUAUCCUUCAGGUGAAUUAUCAUUAUCCUUUUGAAGCUCCUUUUGGCAUUUUCAUUAUCCUUUAUUAUAUUCAGUUCAUAUUCUUCCAGUGAUGACUUAGUUAGGGUUGAUGAUAGGCCGUGUGAUUUUUGAAGGAAACCCAGAAAGUUAUGGUGAGGGAGAAUACCUUCUCUAGUCAGGGUCAAAAGGAAGGGCUGGAGCCAACAUCUACCUUUGUUCAUUUGAAUGUGAUACAUGCUGAUUUAUAUUUGAUCUGUUGAUUUGAAUCUUUACCUUUGUUGAUGGAAAGAAGAUAAAUAAGUCAAAAAAAGGAAGACUUGGAUCUACUGAAACCCAUAGUCCUGAACUACAUAGGGGAAAGCACAAAAAAGGUCAAGACACAAAUCAAGAAGAGCUGAUGAAUUGGAUGUCAACAAAUGGAAAGGGAUAUUGAACGUCCUUAGCAAGGGA